UUCGCACGUCACACCUUCCAAGGUCUCUACGCCAAGGUCAGGAGGAAGGAGGGGAAGGAAGGGGUGAAUGAGAGAGGAUGUGGGGCCAUAACUGGAAAAUGACAUGGGAAAACAAGAAGCCUUUCAUCUACUCAUUCGCCUUUUGUGGGAGGACGCUGAGUGAGGCGGGCAUACUGUGGGCCGGCACUACUGCAAGGAUACAGUUAGGGUUAUAUUGACUAGGUCAAUGAUCACAUCAAGCUUAUUUUUAAAUACAGAGCCACUAAUGAAAGAAGCAAGAAAACAAUAAAUCAAACCAAUAAAUUAACUAGAUCACAUCAGAUUUUGAUAAGUGUUACAAAGACAACAAAACUGGAUGAUGAAUUAAGAGAGUUCCAGGGGGCAGCACGUCACCAUGGACGGAGAGCUCGGGGAAGACUGGUCUGAGGAGGAGCUAUCUGAGAGCUGAGGGGGCACAGUGGGGGCAAGGGUCUCAUGGCAGAAACCCCUUGGUCUGUUCUAGGAACGGGGAGAAGGUCUUUCAGCUGGCUGUGCUUGAAGCCUCUGCAUCACAAUGGAAAUGCACCUUUUUGAAUCGUGUCAAGGUGGGACUUGGGGGAAGAAGGGACGUAGAAGGGACUUAGCCUGUAACUUUGACCCUCGCAGCCAGUGAGUCCCCUGAGGGUCCCUGAACAGCAGGAGGCCACCUGGCUCUGGGGUGCAGUCACCAUGACCCUCCAGACCCCAGGCCGCUCGCUCAGGGACACGCCACCCAGAGGGAAAGAGGCCGCUACAUACGCCUAUCUCCGCUCUGCCACGGUCUGCUUUCUGCCCUCCUGGCACCAGAGUCCGUAUUUUCAAAUAGGAAGGACGAUGUAGGACUUUACCGUGAGUCCAGCAAAGGGCAGGAGAGAGCUGAGUGAUGCCUCUGAGUUUGCCCAGAUGCCUCAGAACUGAGUGGCACGAGAUGAGCUGAGAAUGGCACCAAAGGGAAAGUCGGCUCAAAAUGUUCUAUAUUUUUUUUAAACGUUAACAUGAAACAAAUCCAAAGCCAGGAAGCCACAGUUCUAAACAAGCUGUGCUAGAUGCUGCUUGGAAACAGCCAGCAGACACGGAGAUGUGUGAAAUGACUCUGUCAUGUUGAAAUGUUCACCGCUCUUGAGAGGGAGGAAAGACUGAAGCCUACCUUCCUUGCAAGUAUGGAAUAAAAGCAUGAGGAAGCCCUGCAUCAGCAAGUUGACACGGAUUCACAGCGAAGGAAAGAAAGGGGUAACGUGUUAGCCAAACUAUAAAAUCCCACACGGACCCGGAAGAGAAGCCGAGGUGUGGUGAGGGAGGGGCCCUGGGGAAGGCGGUGGGAAGGGCAGUGGGCCCAGAGCCAGGUGCCCACCCUUGCACAUCACUUGCUUAGUGCAGUGUUUUAGAGACAAUGCAUCUUAAAUCUACGCUUGAACUGAAAACGCCGCCUGCUAUUCGUGGCUUUACUUUCGGAACUGCAGAAUCAAAAAGUUCUUGAUGAAUUAGCCCAUCCUGUGAUUUUCAAAUUGCCUUUUCCUGAGUCCUAGGGCUUCAGUGAGAGCACAUCAAGUGUUUACCUCCUGAGAGUCGGAGUCGGGGGGUACGAGGGUGACAAAAAGCUGUCUGCCCCCCACCCCAUUUCUACUGGUCCUGCUUUUCAAGGAGCCGUAAAAGUAAGCAUUGGCUUUGUAAAGACAGAAGGAGGGAAGGACGUUUUAACCACGGCAGUGUGAUCUGUUUCUUCUUUGGGAUGAAUUUGACUUGUUGGAUUUUCAUGAUGGUUCCACAGCACGGACAGAAAUUUAAAUGGAAUCUGAGUGGACUGAGCAGCGUUUGUAGGCUCUUUACAAGACUCCCUUCUCUACUUUUAAAGCCUGUCACAACCUGUCUCGUUCACGAUACCCGAUAGAGUUCCUGGCAUAUGACGGCAUCUCAGGGGUUGGGCUGGUAUGGUCAUCAUCGCUCUGUGGCAGAUGAAAUCCUGGGCUCGCAGGACGAAACCUUUGGUGCCCAGCCUCACCCAUGCUGAGGUCGAGCCAAGUGUACCCUUCUCCAUGUGGCCUCCUGGCCUAGGAGGCGUCCAGACACCCACUAAUCUGGCUGCUAAUUCUUUCAUUAGUCUUGCUCUGGCGACAACACUGCAAUGCCCUUGAAAGCACAGACUUAGUCUUGGAUUUUUAAAGAUGUAUUUAUUGAACAUGGAAGUACUAGCACAGCGCUGAGCUCACCACAGGCAAGCCAGAAAGAUCUGUGGAUUGCCAGGCCUUCCUCGUUUCAGAAACAUUUCAACUUAGAGAAAAUCAUUCCAACUCGGAAAACAUCCCUUGUAAUGUCUGCUUUCUGUAGCGUCAUUGCUCUCGAAAGGAUUUAGGGCAAACUUUAGAAUAAACUUUUUUCACUUCUCUAGCACAUAUGUAAUGCUAUUCUAGAUCAAAAGGAAAAGAGGUCUGGAUUUUGCUGUUUUUCAGUUUUGUCACCGGAAGUGAACAGAAUAUGGACACAAACACACCGGCAUCAGAGUCUUACCUACUCCGUCAACGGAUACGUGGACUUGAGGGUGAAAAUGCCAUUCAGAAUCCCUAGAUUCCCAUCUCAACUCUGCUUCCAAUUUUGCAUGACUCUAAUUCCAAAACACUGCAUCUACCCUUUACCGUUUCUAAUUUGUCAAGUGGUUGGAUGGCACUUCCUCAUCGACUUGUCUGAUUUAGAGGCCGGCUGUCAGGUGCAUUUACUGCCUUGGAGAAGUGUACUAUAUAAAUACCAGAGGUCGUUGUUAUUGCGUCUCCAAGACACUCUUCCAAGAAAUGUAAUUCCCUGGCCCAAAUGUAAGUUAAAGGCUACAGCAUACGCUUUGCUUGGAGCAUUGAUGACUCUGGUAAAAUCGCCACCUGGCUCACAAGCCCGAUGAGAAAUGUACGGGGGGCUCUGAUGUCAUUUAUAACAAUGCCUAUACAUUGGAUAACAAGGCCAGAGCUGGCUCCCACCUCUGUUGGCUGUCUUAACUGCUGGAAAGAUGAGUCUGCCUUCCGAGCUGCUGUUGGCCGUUGCCACCUGCUGGCUUUGGCACACCAUUCCCCUGGCUCCCCUCCUGGUGCUGUCCUGGCAGCCUCCCCAAACUGCCAACUUGGAGCCAGGGAGCGCAGGGAUGUCUGGAGCUUGGUUUCCCAUUGCUGAGGCUGCAUCAUGCAAACUGGCUGACAGUGGGGCCUCUUGGUGCUCUCCAGGGUCAGUGUGUUGACUGCUAUGGUGACCAGCUGGCUAGCAGCAGCCGUCAUUGGAAACUGCCCCUGAGAACGUCACAUCCUGGCAAGGGAAGGCUACCGAGGGAGCAAGCCUUCAUCAGAGAAAAUAAACAGUGCUUUACGAGGUGGAUGUGGGCAUUUUCUAUCCAGCCUGGAUUCAUUUUAGGCAUUCAAAACUUUUCUUGCAGUUGCAUUUAAACAUUUAUAUUUUCAUCUUGCGACUCUUCACUCCAUCGGUUUUACUUUUAAAGUUCUUGCCUAGAACUGAGAAGUUCCCAUUUAGCACAGGAGGGGUCAAAGCCUCUCUGAGGUCACAAUGGUGUCUGGUGGCAGAGUCAUAAUGAAACAUCAGGGUGCUUCGCUUGUCUAGUGCUUUAAAUACUGAUGAGUUGUUUAUGAAUUUAAUCAUCUGCAUGAUAAGCAAAAGGUUUGGCGUGCAUUGUCAAUAUACUGAGCAACCCCCUCGAAUAAGGGUGGAGUCAUUUAUGAGCUACUGUCCAAAUCAGGCUGUAAAAGGCCCAGUUGGAGUCAUAGCUGACUCUGCACUGCUAAUGCCCAGUACAAACAGACUCAUAAUCACAAACUGAGUAUUCCGGGAGUGUGAUCUGAUCGUGCUCUGAGACCGAGGUUUUCUGAGGAGUUUUAAAAUGUAGAUUUUUAUUCGUAUUCCGAUAUGGUGAGGUUAACAGUUGAGGAGACACCUACCUUUGAAAAGAUACCCUGCUAUAUUCAUAGAUCCCAGGAGGAGGGGGUGUGCCUUGCUGUGGGGCCACGCAGGGAAGCACCAGGGUCCAUCAGGAAGCAGGGGGAGAGGAGGAGAGUGAGGGCAAAAGCCUUGACUCUGGUUUUCAUAGGAAGAAACAGGCGAGGCAGGGGGAGUGGGCUUAGGAUUUGCGAGUUGAAAGUCAGCAGGCUCUGGGACAUAGGAGCUGUCCCUAGUUGUGUGGAACUAGGGGUGUGGAACUAGGGGUGAUUAGGGCAGAGGCACAGUGGCCUGAGCCCAGUGAGGAAGUGGUUGGGUUGAUGGGCUGAGGAUAGGAUGGUUUGACAUGAAAAACAUGCUCCCAAGCAUGUUGCUUGCUAUCUCUAGGAAGCAGCUGUCCCUGGGCAGGGCAGCAAGGCCCCAGAUGUGAAAGCAUUGAGAAUACACAAUAGGAGUUCCCAUUGUGGCUCAGUGGGCAUGAACCUGACUAAUACCCAUGAAGAUUCAGGUUUGAUCCCUGAUCCUCAGUGGGUUAAGGAUCCAGUGUUGCUGUGGCUGUGGUGUAGGCCAGCAGUUACAGCUCCAAAUCUACCCCUAACCUGGGAACUUCCAUAUGCCACAGGUGCAGCCAUUAAAAACAAACAAACAAACAAACAAAAAGAAUUAAGAAUAGAAAGACAGCCUGACACGGAGUUAGCCAGCAUGCACAAUAUUGUGCUGCAGUGAGUUUACUGCAGCAGAGUUGUAGGUUAUUUGUUCUUUAUACUGUCUUUACUGAAGAAAUGUCAAAUCAAAUAGGCUUUCAGAUUUUCUAACUGCUUGCGGUACAACGAGGAAGGGCCCAGGGACCCGGGACACUCAAAUCUGCCAGCUACAAUUACGAUGCAGGUGCGUGCAGACAGAGGAAAAAACCAAGAGAAGAAAAGAAAGGAAACCUCGUCAGAAACAUUACCACGCUCGGUGGAAACGCUGCGGAUCGUGGCGGCUGGUCCGCUGAGUAACCCCCUGCUGAUGAGGGAAGAGACCUACUAGGAACGAUUAGAAACGCACCACAUUCUCAUUUUGCUCUGUUUUGCUUUGCUGUGUGGCAGGGAGCAGGGAGCUUUGAUGUGGACCUGAGAUCAUUUGACUGGUAAGCAACAGGCCGUGGUGACAACUCUGGAGGGAUAAUGACCUGGGUGGGGCACUUCAGAUCCCUGUGGUACUGGGUCGGCUUCGCUGGGUCUAAGUUUCUUUACCACUAAUGCUACCUGGAAAGGAUAAUAGUACCUCGAGUCAGAGCUCAAAAAACUGUCACCUUUGAGUAAGCCAAAUCCCGUUCAGAAGAGCCAGAGUAAGAUCUGAUCAACGUUGUAGCCGCCUAUGGGUCUCCCUCCUAUUUCACACCCUUAUUAACGAAUAGCGUGAUUUCGUUUUCAUUCCAUUCCUGUCAUGUUGACGCUACGCCAUUUCUGGUUUUUCCACCAAAACUGAUUCUGAAGCAAGGGUAGUCUGAGCAUGCAAAGCAUUACAGGAAGGGCACAAGGAGACUGAAAAGCAGAGACCUGCUACCAGGGAAGGUUAACGCUGCAAGAAGCUGGUCUCGUCUCAAUGACACCUUGGGUUCCGAAUUUUUCUUUUACUUACAUAUAAUAGUUGAGACAUAUUUAUAAUCUUUUCUUUUUUGAACCUGUGUAGGUCAUAGGAGAGAAUUUUUAAAAUGUUCUUUAGGAGAAAGAAAAAAAAUAAAUUACCCAUAGUAUUUAGUUCUGUUUUCAUAUUUUCCCAUUGUAUUUUUUCUACAUCCAUAUUUUAAAAAUGUAAUGGUUGCUCACAUGAUACAGAUAAUCCUCAUGUUUUUACUUGACACUCUAUUGUAGCUAUUGCAUAGUGUAUCGUUUUCAGUAUUGAAGUAAUUUUUCCUUAAACACUUUUCAGGUUAUGCUAACAAUUAUCGAGACAACUGAGAAAAUAUGACUGUAGGACAAAAGUCUCAAACUCAUGGUCAUGGACUAGAGCACCCUGGGGACACACUGGGAGGGAGGCCAACUUUAAAACGCAAACCAACCUUUAAAAGUCAAAGAAGUUUACUUAAAAUUAGGGAUUUCUUCUUUUCUCAAAAACUUGGGCCUGGCAAUAUUGCAUCUGAUUUUCUUUCCUGUGUAAAAAUCUUUGGAAAUAGAGUAGGUUCCCCUUUCUGCUUGGAAUGAGCUUUUCAGACUUCUAGCUCUGCAAUCUCCCAAUCCCUGUGGCUGCCAUUCGCUUAACUGCAGUGGAGACUAAGAAGACAGAGAGAGGACUCAAGCGGGUGCAUAUGCUUGAGCUAGACGCCACUCCGGCCACAGCAGACUAAGGAUCUAAGGCAGUGAUACAGCCACGCUACGCAGGUGCCGGAAUGGUGGUGGAAGUGAAACUGGACAACUCACUGGGCAUGGUAAGGUGAAGGAGAUUAAAAGACACAACAUCUGAGUCUGGUUAAAGAGGCUGGUGGGGGAAGGUGACAAGUUUGGCUUUUUAUCUACGGAUUUUUCUUCCCUGAAAUCCAACCCCCCCUUUCUUCCCCGGAGGAAUCUAAAUGUAUAAAUUAUUACUAUUUGUUUUCAUGAACUAUGUUGCUUCCUGAGGCAAAAAUGACCCCUGAGAAUGGCCAGAAGCAUCUCUGAUUUCUCUUUCUGGUGCUGAGCUGAGAGCAGAGGAAGGACCAAACUACAGCUGACCACGUCGAGCCGCUGUUGACCGAGCUGACUGGUCAAGGGGAAGCGGCCCACGUUACUCUUCACGGCCUGAUCACGUUUGGAUACUGAGCCAAGUUAUUCUGUCUGAAGGAGAAGAGACUCAAGACUGCAUCGCAGGAGGGAUUAUUAGAAUAGUUAGAACAUGAGCAUGUUCGACGCGAUGACUGCUGUCAAGAAUCCGAGGGAGUAUCUGGAGUUCCCGUCGUGGCUCAGCAGUGGUGAACCUGACUGGUGUCUGUGGGGAUGCGGGUCCAGUCCUUGGCCUCGCUCAGGGGGAUAAGGAUCCAAUGCUGCCCGGGAGCUGUGGUGUAGGUUGCGACGCAGCUCCGAUCCCGUGUUGCUGUGGCUGUGGUGUAGGCCGGCAGCUACGGCUCCGACGGAUGCCUAGCCCAGGAACUUCCAUGUGCAGUGGGUGCGGCC
rnacentral:lncRNA from 1 species